GAUGAACGCUGGCGGUAUGCCUAACACAUGCAAGUCGUACGAGGGUUUUUAACUCUAGUGGCGGACGGGUGAGUAACACGUGAGAAUUUGCCUUUAGGAGGGGGAUAACAAUCGGAAACGAAUGCUAAUACCCCAUAUGCUUUUGAGUGAAACGGAUUUAUCCGCCUAAAGAGAAGCUCGCGGCUGAUUAGCUUGUUGGUAAGGUAAGAGCUUACCAAGGCGACGAUCAGUAUCUGGUUUGAGAGGACGAUCAGACACACUGGAACUGAGACACGGUCCAGACUCCUACGGGAGGCUG
rnacentral:rRNA from 1 species